AAUCUGAGUCACGGUAGUGCAUUUUCCCUGUUUCAGUGUUGGUUUUGUAAAUUCUGUUGUAGCUACGAAAACGAACAGGGAAACAGCACUCAGAAAGGACAAGGUGUAGCAGAACAUCUCCGGACAUCUAUUUACCAUGACGACCUACAGUAAAAUGAGACAACUCGUCAUGGAUUUCAAUAUUUAUUGGUAUGAGGACGGCGACAUUUUCCUUGGAGUUGAUGAUCCUGGGUAACGUCCCGCAUGCCGCACACAUCAUCACCCGAUUGAGACCAGGAAUCGCCAGCGUUGGCUGGCUGUUCGACAUCGGACCAGUGAUCGCCAGUCAUUUCGUCGUCGGUGGUGGCAGGUAGUUUUCCGGAACCCAAGUCCUUCUACGACUUCCAGAAGGUUGCAACAGUCGGUCCAACGUGUCCGAAGGAUCAUCGUCGUCAUCAUUGCAUCAGUGUACAAGUAAGCAUCAUGUCUUCGUCGAUCUUGCAUAAACUUGACAAGUUAAAGAAAUGUGGAGAGUUUCAAAAAAUGGCGACAAUUCCUAAAAACAUCAAGUAUGAUGUGGUUGAUGUUAACAAAAUUGAAACGAGGUAUGGCGAGGCGGUCUACGUAGAAAUUAUGAAGGAUCACGAGCACGUAAAGGUGUUCCUUCCAGCUCGGUUUCAUAAACUAAGCACUCAAGACAUCGAAGACAUGAGGAACACGAGCGGACUCUGGAUGGAGAAGAAAGAGCGAGUUGGAAAAGAGGGGAAACGUCUUCUUUCGCCAGACAUCGUGUUCGGUCAAUCCGAGUAAAAAAAUAAAAAGAAAUGGUGACAUGCCACCUUUGUCCUCCGGCCGAUCGGCAGCACUACACAACAGCGCUGGGACUUCAAGUUCAUCUGGCUAACGUUCAUAACCUUGCAACACCCUGUAUCCCAUUUUGUGAGACACUCUGUACGCUCCGCAACUAUACCAACCGCUAUGAGCUUCAUCUACAUGACAGAGACGACGACGGGCAGGAUGUCA